GUCAGCAGCCAUAUCACCCUGUAGCCCAAGACUGGUUGCCCACUGAAGCUAAGCAGCGUUAAGCCUGGUCAGUACCUGGAUGGGAGACCUCCUGGGAAAACUAGGUUGCUGCUGGAA
rnacentral:rRNA from 1 species